UGAAUCUCUCCAUAGCUCUCGUAUGCGAGUGUGAUCGUCUUCAAUCGGCGCCGGAGAUAAAUGUUGCAGUUGUCGAUUCGGCGGGUGAAGAAAUCGAGUGUUCUGAGGCCUUAGAUCUUUGCUCUUGGAAAUUAUCGUUUCUCCACCUCUGCUGAACCGUCUUCCAAGCCUAAUCCUCCGCGCAUACUUGUUUCAUCUAGCGUUGUUACGAAAGGCUGAUAUAUACUUCAUUUACGCAAGCCUUCUCAAUCCUCAGCAUUCAUAGAUGUCAUAAACCUAGCAAGGAAGUUGUUUCUCAAGUUCCAUUGACCACAAAUGAAGAAUUUAAAGCUGCAGUAUCUGCUGCAAUGCAAGCUUUUCCUGCUUGGCGUAAUACUCCAGUUACAACUCGUCAACGAAUUAUGCUCAAGCUUCAAGAACUCGUUAGGCGAGAUAUCGUAAGUUCGUUUUUCAGUAAAAGGAAUAUUCCAAAUUCACUUCAAAAGUGGAUUUCCCCCCCUCUCAUUUCAGGACAAACUUUCUCUAAAUUUUACAACAGAACAAGGAAAAACAUUAAAGGAUGCACAUGGAGAUGUAUCCCAUGGGAUAGAGGUUGUGGAACAUGCAUGUGGAAUGGCAUCGCUGCAAAUGGGGUAGUAUGUCUCUCAUGUGUCACAUGGAAUUGUUGAUACCUGCAGCAUCAUAGAGCCUCUUUGCGUUUGUGCUGGGAUUUGUCCUUUCAAUUUUCCUGCCAUGAUCUCCCUAUGGGUUAGCCUGUUAUUCUUCACUGUCAUUCCAAUGGUUAUAAUUUCAGCAGUAAAGAAUUAGUUUGAUUUCUCAAAGCCUGGAGUACACCCGUUAUCUACUUCUUUUGUGGUGUAAAAGACUUGCUGCUAUGAAAGAUUUUUAUCCCCGAAAAAUUAAUUUAUGAACUUCAUUCCAUACCGAUAUUAUCCCCCCAAUUAGCUUUUCUUUUUCUUAUGAUAAUAGACUGACAGUGGCAAUAGUUGUGCCAUGGGACAAUCCUCUGCAGAUGUUCCCAAUUGCUGUACAUGUGGGAAUACCUUUAUUUUGAAGCCUUCAGAAAAAGAUCGAGGAUGUUGUUAAUGCCAUUUGUGACGAUGAAGAUAUAAAGGCAAUAUCAUUCGUCGGUUCAAACAUUGUAAGCUAUCUUUACUGAAAUAACUUUUACUUCAUGGAGUUGGCAAUCUCAAUACAUUCUAGGUUAAUUUCUACAACUGGUUCUUGUUGCAACAUACUAAAAUUCUAUUAUAGGAUAGGGCCCUUUCCACUUUUUGUUUUUAGAAUCUAGAUCUGAUAGUUUAGAUAUUUGUUCAUGUGGCCAUUGGAGUUUUACAAGUUAUUUAAUUGGUGAAACAUCCUCUUACAUUGGGACCUUGGCGUUCUUUACUUGGUCUACCAUUGGUACAAAGUGAUUUAAGUUUAGCUUUGUGGUUUUAUUGUUGCAGAUGACUGGUUUCAAUAUUAAGUUUAUUUUCCACA